UCUUAUAGAUGAGCAAAGAAAGUGGUCUCUUGAGAUUGGGUCUGCUCCUGGUGAAGAUGCUGAGAA
rnacentral:pre_miRNA from 1 species